UCAUUGGGUUGACACUAAACCUAAAGGCGCAAUGAAAGUGAAGGUUCCGCCUUGUGCGGACCGAGGGAAGAUGGGGCGUGCUCCUGCGCGACCCCCGCAUUCCCGGGGCGUCUCGUUCUCAUUGCGAGUUGAGGCGCACCCAGAGCGUACACGUUGGGACCCGAAAGAUGGUGAACUAUGCCUGGCCAGGACGAAGUCAGGGGAAACCCUGAUGGAGGUCCGUAGCGAUUCUGACGUGCAAAUCGAUCGUCGGAGCUGGGUAUAGGGGCGAAAGACUAAUCGAACCAUCUAGUAGCUGGUUCCCUCCGAAGUUUCCCUCAGGAUAGCUGGUGCUCGAACGAGUCUCAUCCGGUCAAGCGAAUGAUUAGAGGCCUUGGGGCCGAAACGACCUCAACCUAUUCUCAAACUUUAAAUGGGUGAGAUCUCCGGCUUGCUUAAAGCACUGAAGCCGUGAGACCUUUUUGGAUCGGAGUGCCAAGUGGGCCACUUUUGGUAAGCAGAACUGGCGCUGUGGGAUGAACCAAACGCAGAGUUAAGGCGCCCGAAUAGACGCUCAUGGGAAACCAUGAAAGGCGUUGGUUGCUUAAGACAGCAGGACGGUGGCCAUGGAAGUCGGAAUCCGCUAAGGAGUGUGUAACAACUCACCUGCCGAAGCAACUAGCCCUGAAAAUGGAUGGCGCUGAAGCGUCUUGCCUAUACUCUGCCGUCAGCACGGCAAUGAGGGGUGCGCGGUUCGCUUCGGCGUGCCCGCCCCGUGAGGCCCUGACGAGUAGGAGGGUCGCGGCGGUGAGCGCAGAAGGGUCUAGGCGUGAGCCUGCCUGGAGCCGCCGUCGGUGCAGAUCUUGGUGGUAGUAGCAAAUACUCCAGCGAGGCCCUGGAGGACUGACGUGGAGAAGGGUUUCGUGUGAACAGCCGUUGCACACGAGUCAGUCGAUCCUAAGCCCUAGGAGAAAUCCGAUGUCGAUGGGGUCCGAGACUUUGAGUUAGGACCCCAUGGGGCGAAAGGGAAUCCGGUUCCUAUUCCGGAACCCGGCAGCGGAACCGUAAUAAGUCGGGCCCCUCGCAAGAGAAGCUCGUCGGGGUAACCCAAAAGGACCCGGAGACGCCGUCGGGAGAUCGGGGAAGAGUUUUCUUUUCUGCAUGAGCGUUCGAGUUCCCUGGAAUCCUCUAGCAGGGAGAUAGGGUUUGGAACGCGAAGAGCACCGCAGUUGCGGCGGUGUCCCGAUCUUCCCCUCGGACCUUG
rnacentral:rRNA from 1 species